GCGCCCGUAGCUCAGCGGACCAGAGCACCUGGCUUCGGACCAGGGGGUCGGGGGUUCGAAUCCUCCCGGGCGUA
rnacentral:tRNA from 1 species